GACGAACGCUGGCGGCGUGCUUAACACAUGCAAGUCGAACGGAAAGGCCUUUUCGGAGGUACUCGAGUGGCGAGCGGGUGAGUAACACGUGGGUGAUCUGCCCUGCACUCUGGGAUAAGCCUGGGAAACUGGGUCUAAUACCGGAUAGGACCGCACUUUAGUGUGUGUGGUGGAAAGUUUUUUCGGUGUAGGAUGAGCCCGCGGCCUAUCAGCUUGUUGGUGGGGUAAUGGCCUACCAAGGCGGCGACGGGUAGCCGGACUGAGAGGUUGGUCGGCCACAUUGGGACUGAGAUACGGCCCAGACUCCUACGGGAGGCAGCAGUGGGGAAUAUUGCACAAUGGGCGCAAGCCUGAUGCAGCGACGCCGCGUGGGGGAUGACGGCCUUCGGGUUGUAAACUCCUUUCGCCAGGGACGAAGCGUUUUGUGACGGUACCUGGAGAAGAAGCACCGGCUAACUACGUG
rnacentral:rRNA from 1 species